rnacentral:hammerhead_ribozyme from 1 species
ACCCAUCUGACGAGUCCUAAAUAGAACGAAACGCGCUUCCUGGAU